UUUAGUUGCUUUCUCUUCAGUUCGUAUAAAUCUUUCGCCUUUUACUAAAGAUUUCCGUGGAGAGGAACGUUUAAUUUCCCACUAAAUACUUCAAUAUUGCUGAAAUGAGGG
rnacentral:snRNA from 1 species